rnacentral:piRNA from 1 species
UAUCAGUGGAAAGAACUUUUUACUGUGUGC